UGCAGUGCAAAUCCUGAGCCCAUGUAUAGGAAUUACUCUUUUGGGAUAUUUAUCUGAAAGUGGAACUGUUGGCUCAGAAGGCCCCAGGGCAUGAACCUCUCCAGCUUUGCUAGAUAUUGCCAAAUUGCUCUCCCAGAGGAAAGGCCAUGUGAGGACACAUCAAGAAGGUGGCCAUCUGCAAGCCAGGAAGUGAGGCCUCACCAGACGCCAGCCCUGCUGACUCCUGAUCUUGGACUUUCAGCCUCCAGGACAGAAAUAAAUUUCUAUUGUUUAAGCCA